rnacentral:rRNA from 1 species
GACGGAGGGCGCAAGCGUUGUCCGGAAUUAUUGGGCGUAAAGAGCUCGUAGGCGGUCUGUUGCGUCCGCUGUGAAAACUCGGGGCUUAACCCCGAGCCUGCAGUGGAUACGGGCAGACUAGAGGUAGGUAGGGGAGAAUGGAAUUCCUGGUGUAGCGGUGAAAUGCGCAGAUAUCAGGAAGAACACCCGUGGCGAAGGCGGCUCUCUGGGACGGUACUGACGCUGAGACGCGAAAGCGUGGGGAGCGAACAGG